GAUGAACGCUGGCGGCGUGCCUAAUACAUGCAAGUCGAGCGAACGGACGAGAAGCUUGCUUCUUUGAUGUUAGCGGCGGACGGGUGAGUAACACGUGGAUAACCUACCUAUAAGACUGGGAUAACUUCGGGAAACCGGAGCUAAUACCGGAUAAUAUUUUGAACCGCAUGGUUCAAAAGUGAAAGACGGUCUUGCUGUCACUUAUAGCUGGUUCCGGGCUGCAUUAGGUAGUUGGUAAGUUAACGGCCUACCAAGGCAACGAUGCAUAGCCGACCUGAGAGGGUGAUCGGCCACACUGGAGCUGAGACACGGUCCAGACUCCUACGAGAGGCAGCAGUAGGGAAUCUUCCGCAGUAGGCGAGAGCCUGACGGAGCAACGCCGCGUGAGUGAUGAAGGUCUUCGGAUCGUAAAACUCUGUUAUUAGGGAAGAACAUAUGUGUAAGUAACUGUGCACAUCUUGACGGUACCUAAUCAGAAAGCCACGGCUAACUACGUG
rnacentral:rRNA from 1 species